rnacentral:rRNA from 1 species
GAUGAACGCUAGCGGCAGGCUUAAUACAUGCAAGUCGAGGGGCAGCACGGUUAGCAAUAACUGGUGGCGACCGGCGCACGGGUGCGUAACACGUAUACAACCUACCUAUAACAGGGGGAUAGCCUUUCGAAAGAGAGAUUAAUACCCCGUAAUAAAUUGAGUGGCAUCACUUGAUUUUGAAAGCUCCGGCGGUUAUAGAUGGGUAUGCGUUUGAUUAGCUAGUUGGUGAGGUAACGGCUCACCAAGGCGACGAUCAAUAGGGGAUCUGAGAGGACUAACCCCCACACUGGUACUGAGACACGGAACAGACUCCUACGGGAGGCAGCAGUAAGGAAUAUUGGUCAAUGGAGGCAACUCUGAACCAGCCAUGCCGCGUGCAGGAUGACGGCCCUAUGGGUUGUAAACUGCUUUUAUUGGGGAAUAAUUUGCGGGACGUGUCCUGUAUUGUAUGUACCCAUUGAAUAAGGAUCGGCUAACCCCGUGCCAGCCGCCGCCGUAAGAC